rfam:Myotis lucifugus cont2.3314, whole genome shotgun sequence.
GGUAGUUCUUGGGUGAUGCACCCCGGAAUUGGGCUCCCUCCUCUCUGAUUUCAGGUGCGUCACAUGAGAACCGGA